UAUGUGAUCGUCUCUCGCAUAUCAAUAAGCGGAGGAAAAGAAACUAACAAGGAUUCCCCUAGUAACGGCGAGUGAAGCGGGAAGAGCUCAAAUUUGAAAUCUUAAAGGGUUUCCCUUUACGAAUUGAAGUUUAAAGAAGUGUUUUCUGUUGAGGUUUUGGUAAAAGUUCUUUGGAAUAGGACAUCAUAGAGGGUGAGAAUCCCGUAUUUGACCUUUACUUUCAACUUUGUGAUACACUUUCAAAGAGUCGGAUUGUUUGGGAAUGCAGUCCAAAAUGGGUGGUAAAUUUCAUCUAAAGCUAAAUAUUGGCGAGAGACCGAUAGCGAACAAGUACCAUGAGGGAAAGAUGAAAAGAACUUUGAAAAGAGAGUUAAACAGUACGUGAAAUUGUCAAAAGGGAAGCGUUUGACACCAGUGUUGUUUUUCUGAAAAUCAAUUAAAGAACUGUUUAUGCUAAGCUGUUUAGACUUUAUCAGCUAACUGUUUAGUUUUGAGCUUUUCUUUAAUGCACUUUUCAGUUAACAAGUCAACAUCAAUUUCUUUUGCUGUAAAAAAGCUUGAGGAAGGUGGCUUGAGAUUCGUCUUAAGUGUUUAUAGCCUCUUGCCUAUGCAGUCGGAGAGAUUGAGGUCUGCAGCGUAGAUCCUUCGGGGCUAAAUGCAUUUGUGCUAAGUUAUAGCAUUUUAUAGACAACUUGUUGACUAUGAUUUGUCUUGUAGCUUACUCGCUUAUGUUAUUUUACCUACGCUUAGGAUGUUGAGUAGCGACAUACGCAC
rnacentral:rRNA from 1 species